CAGCAGGUGAGGGGCUCUCAACUCCUCUCCCAAACAAUGAGUGUCUGCAGUUUGGUGGGGAGGGUAUGAUUUCACAGCAGGUGAGGGGCUCUCAACUCCUCUCCCAAACAAUGAGUGUCUGCAGUUUGGUGGGGAGGGUAUGAUUUCACAGCAGGUGAGGGGCUCUCAACUCCUCUCCCAAACAAUGAGUGUCUGCAGUUUGGUGGGGAGGGUAUGAUUUCACAGCAGGUGAGGGGCUCUCAACUCCUCUCCCAAACAAUGAGUGUCUGCAGUUUGGUGGGGAGGGUAUGAUUUCACAGCAGGUGAGGGGCUCUCAACUCCUCUCCCAAACAAUGAGUGUCUGCAGUUUGGUGGGGAGGGUAUGAUUUCACAGCAGGUGAGGGGCUCUCAACUCCUCUCCCAAACAAUGUGUGUCUGCAGUUUGGUGGGGAGGGUAUGAUUUCACAGCAGGUGAGCGGCUCUCAACUCCUCUCCCAAACAAUGUGUGUCUGCAGUUUGGUGGGGAGGGUAUGAUUUCACAGCAGGUGAGCGGCUCUCAACUCCUCUCCCAAACAAUGUGUGUCUGCAGUUUGGUGGGGAGGGUAUGAUUUCACAGCAGGUGAGCGGCUCUCAACUCCUCUCCCAAACAAUGUGUGCUUUGAUGGAUCCUGUGGUGCGUUUUCCUGCUUUUCUUUUAACUGUGCAGGUUGAAACCUGGGUGCCCGAUUGAGUCAGCUGCUUACAUGUCUUGUCUAUGAAACGCUAUUAUUCAUCCGAACUGAAAAAGGAUUGUGUCAACAGCAGCAGGGCCUUGCUGGGCAGGUUUGCUGUGACCAGAUGAGAAGAAACACUUUGAAGUCCUUGUCCUGGAAAAGCACCUCGUCACACAAGAGCCAGUGGUGGGGUCACCGGCAUUUUCCUGCUUCUCCUCACCGACGGCAGUGUGAACGCAGCCCAUUCUGCAGGCCGGAGCUGACGGCUGUUGCACCUGGGCCAGAGUCCCUGCCCCAGAGGCUGCUGUGAUGGGAACCGCCAGCCUCACUCCCCUUCCUGCGAGAGGUCAUGUCCCUGUCCCAGCACCUUCAACAAAGAAGUGGGGCCUGCAGCUGACGCUAUGAGCGGGUGUCAGGCUGGGUGGAGGUGUCCGUUGGACGGUCGAAAGUUGCUAUAGCAAUAACAAACAUGGUUCUCAUGUUUUGAAAAGAAGGGACACCUGCGAGGAGCAGGAAUUCUUCCGUCAUGAUCCACGCUCUGUCGGGUUGCGGUAGCCAUCAGCAUGCCCAUAAACUGAGAAAUAUACAUGUUUAUAUAUAUGUCUUUUUCACUUUAUUGGCAAGUAUUGCACAAGUAUGUAAACCUCACGUUCUGCAGCUAAGGGCUGCAUAGUCGUAACUUCUGAGCAGUUUAUUAAGGUUGAAUACAACUGAUGUAACGAAUCACUUUAUAAAAUAAAAUCCAGUGCA